GAUGAACGCUGGCGGCGUGCCUAAUACAUGCAAGUCGAGCGAAAAGAUGAGGCGCUUGCUCCUCUGACGUUAGCGGCAGACGGGAGAGUAACACGUGGAUAACCUCCCUAUAAGACUGGGAUAACUUCGGGAAACCGGCGCUAAUACCGGAUGAUAUAUUGAACCGCAUGGUUCAAUGGUGAAAGACGGUUUUGCUGUCACUUAUAGCUGGAUACGCGCCGCAUUAGCUAGUUGGUAAGGUCACGGCUUAUCAAGGCAACGAUGCGUAGCCGAGCUGAGAGGGUGAUCGCCCGCCCGAGAACGUGGACAGGGUCCAGACUCCUACGGGAGGCCGCAGUAGGCUAUCUGCCGCAACGGUCGAAAGCCUGACGGAGCAACGGCGCGUCAGAGAUGAAGGUCUUCGGAGCGUAAUACUCUGUUAUGAGUGAAGAACCACUGUGGACGUAACUAAGCACUGCGUGACGGUAAUUAAUCAGAAAGCCCCGGCUAACUACGUG
rnacentral:rRNA from 1 species